rnacentral:tRNA from 2 species
ACUUUUAAAGGAUGACAGUCAUCCAUUGACCUUAGGAGUCAAAAAUAUUGGUGCAACUCCAAAUAAAAGUA